GCGGGAGUAGCACAAUGGCAGUGCUCCAGCCUUCCAAGCUGGCUACGCGGGUUCGAUUCCCGUCUCCCGCU
rnacentral:tRNA from 1 species